rnacentral:rRNA from 1 species
GUCCACGCCGUAAACGAUGAUAACUAGCUGUCCGGGCACUUGGUGCCUGGGUGGCGCAGCUAACGCAUUAAGUUAUCCGCCUGGGGAGUACGGCCGCAAGGUUAAAACUCAAAGAAAUUGACGGGGGCCUGCACAAGCGGUGGAGCAUGUGGUUUAAUUCGAAGCAACGCGCAGAACCUUACCAACGUUUGACAUCCCUAGUAUGGAUCGUGGAGACACUUUCCUUCAGUUCGGCUGGCUAGGUGACAGGUGCUGCAUGGCUGUCGU